rnacentral:lncRNA from 10 species
CUUGUUCCAAACUAGUUGUAGAAGAAGGAAGUGACCUCCAAGAAAAACCACAACUCCACAUCAUCCCACUACUCCCUAACCUCCCAGUCACACGCAUGAUAUUGGCUCACUGUAGCCUCCGACACCUGGGUUCAAGUGAUUCUCCUGCCUCAGCCUCCAAAGUAGCUGGGAUUACAGGCACCUGCCACCACGCCCAGCUAAUUUUUGUAUUUUUAGCAGAGAUGGGGUUUCAUCAUGUGGCGGGCAUGGUGGCACACACCUGUAAUUCCAGCUACUGGGGAGGCUGAGGCAGGAGAAUCGCUUGAACUCAGGAGGUGGAGGUUGCAGUGAGCUGAGAUUGCGCCACUGCACUCCAGCCUGGGCAACAGAGCAAGACUGUGUCUAAAAAACAAAACAAAACAAAACAAAAACACAAGGUAAAUAAAAAUUGCUACACAGUGAGAUAUAUGUAGCAAUAGAAAUAUGUUCAUAUUAAAAACAUUUUGGGGCCGGGGUGCAGUAACUCACACCUGUAAUCCCAGCACUUUGGAAGGCUGAGGCGGGUGGGUCACUUGAGGUCAGGAGUUUGAGACCAGCCUGGCUAAUAUGGUGAAACCCCAUCUCUACAAAAAAUACAAAAAUUAGCUGGGCUUGGUGGCACAUGCCUGUAAUCCCAGCUACUCUGGAGGCUGAGGCAGGAGAAUUGCUUGAGCCCAGGAGGCAGAGGUUGCAGUGAGCCGAUAUCGCAUCACUACACUCCAGCCUGGGUGACAGAGUGAGAUGUGAGACUCUGUCUAAAAAAAAAAAAAAAUUGAAAUGAGAGUAAAAAUAAUAAACUUUGCAGAAAGUACAAAGAUAGCUCAGAAGAUGGAAGAUGAUUAUCCAUGUUGAGUGAGGAAGGAAAGACAGAAUGGUAAAGGAAAGCUUUGGCUAAAAGAUGGCAUAUUUGGCUGGGCACAGUAAUAUACCUGUAAUCCUGUAUGCCUGUAAUUACACCUGUAAUCCUAGCACUGUGGGAAACCGAGGUGGGAGGAUCACUUGAGGCCAGAAGUUUGAGAUCAGCCUAGGUAACAUAGCAAGGCCCUGUCUCCACAAAGAAAAAAAAAAAAUUAGUUGGGUGUGGUGGUUUAUGCCUGUAGUCCCAGCUACGUGGGAGAUUGAGGCAGGAG